rnacentral:misc_RNA from 1 species
UUAUUUUUAUUUUUUUUUAUAUUUCAUUAUUAUUACAAUUAAAAUCGUUAUUAUUACUAUUAUUUCAUAUCGCAUAUUAAUAUUUAAUGAUUAAUGUAUCUUAUAAAUCUGUUGAUUUAUUUACAAAUGAUGGCGAAAUAAGCAAAAAUUAAAAUGCCUGAUUAUCAUGUAAGAUAUUUGGACAUUGCAAUGAGAUGGUGA